UACGUAGGCAGCGAGCGUUGUUCGGAGUUACUGGGCGUAAAGAGUGCGUAGGCGGUUUUCUAAGUUUGGUGUGAAAUCUCCCGGCUCAACUGGGAGGGUGCGCCGAAGACUGGAAGACUAGAGUGUGGGAGAGGUAAGCGGAAUUCCUGGUGUAGCGGUGAAAUUCGUAGAUAUCAGGAGGAACACCGGUGGCGAAGGCGGCUUUCUGGACGACAACUGACGCUGAGACGCGAAAGCGUGGGGAGCAAACAGG
rnacentral:rRNA from 1 species